ensembl:snoRNA SNORA71 Small nucleolar RNA SNORA71
CCCUGUAUUCGAAAGUGAUCAUGGGCUGCCUGUGCCCUGGUCAUUGAUAGUUCAGGGAGAGGAGGCAGAAAGCCUUUCUCAGUGUUUGGAGGAGCCACACCUGUCCUUGCCAAACCCUGGCGCUUUUCCACA